GACGAACGCUGGCGGCGUGCUUAACACAUGCAAGUCGAACGGAAAGGCCCUGCUUUUGUGGGGUGCUCGAGUGGCGAACGGGUGAGUAACACGUGAGUAACCUGCCCUUGACUUUGGGAUAACUUCAGGAAACUGGGGCUAAUACCGGAUAGGAGCUCCUGCUGCAUGGUGGGGGUUGGAAAGUUUCGGCGGUUGGGGAUGGACUCGCGGCUUAUCUGCUUGUUGGUGGGGUAGUGGCUUACCAAGGCUUUGACGGGUAGCCGGCCGGGGAGGGGGACCGGCCACAUUGGGACUAGGAUACGGCCCAGACUCCUACGGGAGGCAGCGGUGGGGAAUAUGGCACAAUGGGCGGAGGCCUGAUGCAGCAACGCCGCGUGCGGGAUAACGGCCUUCGGGUUGAAAACCGCUUUCGCCGGUGACAAGGCGUGAGUGACGGUAAUGAGUAAAGAAGCACCGGCUAACUACGUG
rnacentral:rRNA from 1 species